rnacentral:rRNA from 1 species
UUGGCCUCGAAUCAGGUAGGACUACCCGCUGAACUUAAGCAUAU